AUGAACUUGGCGCUUUCAGACCAAAUCGCCGGGCUCGGGCCCCAGACAAUGGGAUUGUCAGAGGGCCAGCGCUGCGCUUUUUCUGCGUGUUCACCGAGCGUUAAGCCUUUAUCCCACAAAACGGCUCUGUCUGACCGGGUCAGACAAAAGCCGACUUCCAUCUUCCGCCUCCGAGGGGAUCUGGGCAAAGCCGGGUGUACAGUAGCGCGCAGCCCACGGAGCGGGUGGGGGAGGCGGUGCGCUGGCCGCCCGCCCCGCCCUGCGCCCGGCUGGCCUCACCCUGACGCCUGGCGGGCAAAGGGCAGCCUCGGUCGAUCGUACCGCCCCACCGUCCCUGAGGGCACCCUCUUUUCCCGUUCCCUCCCCGCGGCUCCGGGGUGGCCUCCCUGCUGCCGCCUCUUGAGCUCCAGGGUCUUCAGCCGGGCCCAUUCCUUCGGGUCCCUUCGCGCAAUUGGAAAUGCCUCCAGCCCUGCUCUCUGCGGUCCCCUGGCCCCUCUGGCCUCUGAGUCGCCCGCAGACCUGCAGACCCACCCUCCACGUCUCCCUGGGCUUAGCCCUUGCGUCCCGUGCGGGGUCUCCGCAGGCUCUGUGCAACGCGGCGGGGGCCGUGUGAGUGCGUGCAAGUGUGUCUCUGUGUGCACGCGUGUUUGCGGGUGUGUGAGUACGUGUGCAAGGGGCGGGCGGCGAGCCUGGCUCUCAGAGGAAAAAAGAAGCUUGCUCUGGUUCCAGAAAGACUGUGGGCAGAACCUGGCGCACCCUGAGCACCGGGCGCCACCACGGGUGCCAGCCUACGCCUGACCUGGAAAUGACACAACCAAGGCCAAAUCAACCGCCUAGUUACUUCUGGAGAAUCACCAACCAGUCCUGGGUGAAGCUGGGUCUAAACUACAUACAAAUGCUUAGAAGUAAAGGGAAAUGUGGCGUCUUCUUCCAACCUGCCCACCUAAAAUGUUUGUGUUUCCAAAGACACCGAAACAUUUUGAAUCACAAAACUUUGAUUUCAGUGUUUAGCUCAUGGUGGUUCUAUAUUGUGUCUGGAUCUCUAUUCUCA
rnacentral:lncRNA from 1 species